GAUGAACGCUAGCUACAGGCUUAACACAUGCAAGUCGAGGGGCAGCGGGAUUGAAGCUUGCUUCAAUUGCCGGCGACCGGCGCACGGGUGAGUAACGCGUAUCCAACCUUCCGCUUACUCGGGGAUAGCCUUUCGAAAGAAAGAUUAAUACCCGAUGGUAUCUUAAGCACGCAUGAGAUUAAGAUUAAAGAUUUAUCGGUAAGCGAUGGGGAUGCGUUCCAUUAGGCAGUUGGCGGGGUAACGGCCCACCAAACCUACGGUGGAUAGGGGUUCUGAGAGGAAGGUCCCCCACAUUGGAACUGAGACACGGUCCAAACUCCUACGGGAGGCAGCAGUGAGGAAUAUUGGUCAAUGGGCGAGAGCCUGAACCAGCCAAGUAGCGUGAAGGAUGACGGCCCUACGGGUUGUAAACUUCUUUUGCGCGGGAAUAAAGGAACCUACGUGUAGGUUUUUGCAUGUACCGUAACGAAUAAGCAUCGGCUAACUCCGUGCCAGCAGCCGCGGUAA
rnacentral:rRNA from 1 species